rnacentral:lncRNA from 1 species
GAAAGCCAUUAAGAGCAUUAAAAGGAUUAGUAAAAUUACAAGCAUUGGUUAGGGGUUGUUUGGUAAGAAAACAAUUAUUUUUUUCUUGUAAUAAUUUUUUUUUAAUUAUUGAUAUGAGAUUUUACAAUCAAGAAAGGCAUUAAGAAAAUUAAAAGGAUUAGUAAAAUUACAAGGAUUGGUUAGGGGUUAUUUGGUAAGAAAACAAUUAUUCUUUUUCUUGUGCUAAUUUUUUUUUAAUUAUUGAUAUGUGAUUUUACAGGCAAAAAAGGCAUUAAGAGCAUUAAAAGGAUUAGUAAAAUUACAAGCAAGUGCUACACUUCAUGGUAAGCAAGCAUUAAUGAGAGCACAAGCAAGUGUACGUGGUAAAAAAUGCUUCAUUAAAAAUCAAAAUUCACAACUUCAUCAUGCAAGAAAAUCA